rnacentral:rRNA from 1 species
UGGCGGACGGGUGAGUAACACGUGGGUGACCUGCCCCGAAGUGCGGCAUAACAGGGGGAAACUCCUGCUAAUUCCGCAUGUGCUCCCACCUCUUGUGGUGUGAGUAAGGAUUUAUCGCUUCGGGAUGGGCCCGCGGUCCAUCAGCUAGUUGGUAGGGUAAUGGCCUACCAAGGCGACGACGGAUAGCCGGCCUGAGAGGGCGAUCGGCCACAGGGGCACUGAGAUACGGGCCCCACUCCUACGGGAGGCAGCAGUUAGGAAUCUUCCACAAUGGGCGAAAGCCUGAUGGAGCGACACAGCGUGAAGGAUGAAGGCCUUAGGGUUGUAAACUUCUAAAAGAGGGACGAUAAUGACGGUACCUCUUGAAAAGCACCGGCUAACUCCGUGCCAGCAGCCGCGGUAAU